GUGCUCACUUCAGCAGUACAUAUACUAAAAUUGGAACGAUACAGAGAAGAAUAGCAUGGCCCCUGUGCAAGGAUGACACACAAAUUCGUGAAUUGUUCCAUAUUUUU
rnacentral:snRNA from 1 species